UUUACCGCAGGCCCGCUGGGUUUCCACCGACGUCUCCGAGCUGGGCGAAUACUUCCUGCUGCCCUCGGAAAGAUCGCUGUCUGAGUGACAAAUGGACGGGCUGCACGGGGAAAGAAGAAACAAAUGUAGAACGCUUCGUAUAUUUUCCUGUCGUGAGCUGAUCAAUUGUCAGUCACGUUGAAAAUGUGGAGGCUUGACACUUUGCUUGGGAGCCACCACCGGGCGGCCUCUUAUUUGGCGAGCGAGGAGUCGGAGGGUCUUUAAACUGUCAGAGAGGUGGAGCCUAUCCCAGCUGACUUCGGAGCAAGAGGCGGAGCACACCGCCAACAGGUCGCCAGCCGAACAAUUGCUGACAACGAUGUUCAACUGACAGCGACGAGGCCCACAAGGGUCUUCAGAUGACCUUGUGCUACAGGAUGUCCCAGCCCCAGCCCCGACCCAACCCACUCUGGAGGAGCCAGGAGGCUGAUUUGAAUGAAGUGAUGCUUGAUUCAAUCAUCAGAGUGCAACUCGAGGAGCCAUUAGGAGUCAUUAACAGCAUCAGCACCAAAUAGCGUGUAUUUGUGCUCAUAAGCACACAACAAAAUGUGAAAAGAGCGCAGAAAUAGCAGACAAUUAGAACACUUGGCCUUGCUCAUGUAUUACUGCUGACAAGAUGCAUUGAACAUCUGCCUUCGAGCACCCCCUCCCUCCGUUUUCACACACUGGAUGGCAGGGGGGGAAAAGACACUUAAAUGCUUGUAAUCAGCUGGAAAUGUCAUAAAUGGCCUCCACAGUAAUUGAACAAACCUGCUUUUUUAACCACAUUUCCAUCCCAUGCAGAGGUUCUUCACAAUCAAACCUGCACGUUAUCAUACGCACCACGUUUUGCCCUGCAUGCAUCUGCACAUGCAUGCGUAAAAAAAAAAAGAUGUCACGCGUAACAAACUGCAUGUGUUGAGAGGAGAGGACGAAGCCUGGUUCGAGGCUAAGAAGGAGGAGGAGGAGGAGGGGGAUCAUUUGGGAAGCAGAACCACAAGGAGACCCACCUGUGAUGUCCUUGUUCACACUCGCGAAGCCGAAAACGGUGAUCUCUUUCGCGGCCAUGGUUGCAGCGGCUGGCCGCCCCCC